rnacentral:tRNA from 1 species
GCCGGUGUAGCUCAGUGGUAGAGCACUCGAUUCGUAAUCGAGCGGCCGUGAGUUCAACUCUCAUCACCGGCU